rnacentral:rRNA from 1 species
UACGGGGGGGGUAAGCGUUGUUCGGAAUUACUGGGCGUAAAGGGCUCGUAGGCGGCCAACUAAGUCAGACGUGAAAUCCCUCAGCUUAACUGGGGAACUGCGUCUGAUACUGGAUGGCUUGGAUUCGGGAGAGGAAUGCGGAAUUCCAGGUGUAGCGGUGAAAUGCGUAGAUAUCAGGAGGAACACCGGUGGCGAAGGCGGCUCUCUGGACCACAACUGACGCUGAGGCGCGAAAGCUAGGGGAGCAAACAGG